UGCCUGUGAUGACUUGCCAUGCUAAUACUGAAACACCCCCCCCCCCCCCGAGCUCAGUAAAAGGGGGUUUGGAUGAGUGUUACUUCUUGCACUGAGGCGC